rnacentral:rRNA from 1 species
UACGAAGGGGGCUAGCGUUGCUCGGAAUCACUGGGCGUAAAGGGUGCGUAGGCGGGUCUUUUAGUCCGGGGUGAAAUCCUGGAGCUCAACUCCAGAACUGCCUUUGAUACUGAAGAUCUUGAGUUCGGGAGAGGUGAGUGGAACUGCGAGUGUAGAGGUGAAAUUCGUAGAUAUUCGCAAGAACACCAGUGGCGAAGGCGGCUCACUGGCCCGAUACUGACGCUGAGGCACGAAAGCGUGGGGAGCAAACAGG